GGGCGAACUGUGAUGUUGUAAUAGUUCAACGGAAUUUUAUAUUGAAGACAAUUUCGCCCCUAUCUGAGUUCGCUU
rfam:Meloidogyne hapla strain VW9 Mh10g200708_Contig728, whole genome shotgun sequence.